UACAGGGGGUGCAAACGUUGCUCGGAAUUACUGGGCGUAAAGCGAGUGUAGGUGGUUGUCCAAGUUGGAUGUGAAAGCCUUGAGCUCAACUCAAGAAAUGCAUUCAGGACUGGAUGGCUAGAGGACCGGAGAGGAUAGUGGAAUUCCCAGUGUAGUGGUGAAAUACGUAGAGAUUGGGAAGAACACCAGUGGCGAAGGCGGCUAUCUGGACGGUUUCUGACACUAAGACUCGAAAGCGUGGGGAGCAAACAGG
rnacentral:rRNA from 1 species